rnacentral:rRNA from 1 species
AUUGAACGCUGGCGGCAGGCUUAACACAUGCAAGUCGAGCGGGGUGAUGGUGCUUGCACUAUCACUUAGCGGCGGACGGGUGAGUAAUGCUUAGGAAUCUGCCUAUUAGUGGGGGACAACAUCUCGAAAGGGAUGCUAAUACCGCAUACGUCCUACGGGAGAAAGCAGGGGAUCACUUGUGACCUUGCGCUAAUAGAUGAGCCUAAGUCGGGUUAGCUAGUUGGUGGGGUAAAGGCCUACCAAGGCGACGAUCUGUAGCGGGUCUGAGAGGAUGAGCCGCCACACUGGGACUGGGACACGGCCCAGACUCCUACGGGAGGCAGCAGUGGGGAAUAUUGGACAAUGGGGGGAACCCUGAUCCAGCCAUGCCGCGUGUGUGAAGAAGGCCUUAUGGUUGUAAAGCACUUUAAGCGAGGAGGAGGCUCUUUUGGUUAAUACCCAAGAUGAGUGGACGUUACUCGCAGAAUAAGCACCGGCUAACUCUGUGCCAGCCGCCGCCGUAA